CCUUACUUUAACCCCACUAUUUUUACUAUUUAUAUAAAUAAAAUUUACAAACUUAUACUCUUAAUUAUCUCUCACACUAAAUACCCACCAAAAACAAUAAGUAUUACAAAAGAAAAAUGAAAUAUCAUGAAAAUUAAAAACUAAAAAGGAGAAAAUUAACGUACCUUUUGUAUUAUGGUUUAACAAGACUUUAAGGAAAACACUCCAAAUCCCGAAAUUUGAAGAGUUAACUUAUUCUACUUUCAAGAGAAAUUACCUACUGUUGCAAGAGUAGCAAAAAAGAAUAAGUUGGAAGUAAAAUGCUCAACGAAUCAAAUAAUAGCUGGUUUUAAAAGAAAAAAGUUAAAGCUUUCUACCCAAACAAAGGAUAUAUAGAAAUGAGAAGAUAAGUUCUCCUUUCAAAAUGGAAACAACCAAGAAUAAAGGAAAAGAAAUAAAAGAAACAAUACAAUGUAGGCCUAAAAGCUGCCACCAAAAAAGAAAGCGUUAUAGCUCCAAACCAAAACUCUAAAAAUCUUAUUAACAAACUUUACCUUAUUUAAAGUAUUUUAAAACUUUAUAAUGUUAAAACUAGUAAAAACCUACUUACCAAAGAUAAACUAUAAACUUUUAUACCCUUAAAACCCAUCAAGAAUAAAAUAAAGUUCUAUCAACACAGACGGUAAACACCACAGGAUAAAGAAGAAAAAAGGAACUAGGCAAACUCAAAAAAGGACUGUUUACCAAAAACAUAGUCCCUUGACAAUACAUAAGGGAUAUCGCCUGCCCAGUGGAACUAAAUCUAAAUGGCCGCGGUACCUUGACCGUGCAAAGGUAGCAUAAUCAUUUGUCUCUUAAAUGGAGACCAGUAUGAAUGGCAACACAUUUUUUAACUGUCUCUUUUCCUCACCUUCUAAACUUCUACUAAUGUGAAGAAGCAUUAAUAAAAAAGAAAGACGAGAAGACCCUGUCGAGCUUAAACUUCUACAAGAAACUCUUAACCUUUUAAAGAAACUACUUAUCUCUCUAGAAGCUUUGGUUGGGGUAACCAUGGAGUAAAACAAAUCUCCAGUAAAACUUUCAGAUUCUUAAUCAAAUAAUUAAUUAAAAAUGAACCAGAAACUACUGGUAAACAGAAAAAGUUACCGCAGGGAUAACAGCGUCAUCUCCUUUAAGAGUCCAUAUUGACAAGGAGGAUUGCGACCUCGAUGUUGGAUUGGGGCCACCAUAGGGUGCAGCAGCUCUAUCUGGUUGGACUGUUCGUCCAUUAAAACCCUACAUGAUCUGAGUUCAGACCGACGAGAGUCAGGUCAGCUUCUAUCUUCUUCUAAUAUUUCUCUCUAGUACGAAAGGACCGAAAGAAAGCUUCCAAUGAUUAACAUUAAGAAGCAUACCAACC
rnacentral:rRNA from 1 species